GAAGGCUGGACCCAUCUUGUCACCACUGGAUUUUCUACAGGACCAUCUCUACUCCACAGAACCACAUCUGUUACUCCAGGAGGAUUUAUUUGGACUGCUUCCAACACCCUGACCAACAGGGUGCCAGCUCUUCUGUGCUUGCAGGUUCCCGGAAAGUUUGGGUAUCUCCUGCUUGUAUAAAAUCCUCACCCCAAUUUCUGUGUAGCAGGGAUGAGCCUUGGAUGUCCAGGUUGUGGAAAUAAAUGUGACUUGUGACUGAUGGACCAUUGAAAAUUGCCAGAGGAAGAAGCACCAGGAAAUGGGAAGGAGAUGGGAUCCAACAACCCCAGCUGUUACCAUUAAAACAAAUCCCUCCUUCAAGCUGAAUGCAAGGGACAGCAAUGAUCCCAUCCUUGAUCUUUAGAUCUCAAUGGCCUCACCAGGGAUAUUCAGAAUCACAGUACUUUGGCUAACACCUGGCACUUAUGAGUGCAAAAUCUUCUGUUAUGGGAUUUCUGCACCUGACUUGGACUGCUCUGAAGAUGAAGAUUGCCCAAAGACAGGCCCAGGGCAGAGUUAAUGUGUGUCGACCCCCAGCUGAUGCACCACACCAACAUGUGGUUUCCCAGGUGGAGCUGGAUCUCUCUGCCUGCUUGCAAACACAGUCAGGACAAAUGCACACCUGAUUUCUUGUCAUUGUGCCCGCCUGGAAAUCCAAAGAGAGGUGUAAAAGAAGCCCCUCCUUGUCUUACAGUGUUACCUAGGCCUAGGUUAAGAUGGUGCUGAAAGCCUGGCCUUUAACCAGUCCAGCAGCAAUCCUCUGUGGAUGUGUUUGUGAGCUGAGAGCUUCCCAGGGGCCUCCAGCCCACACUCCUUUGUUCUGUGCUUUCUUUUCUCUCUAUAAUUUUUAUAAACCAUCACUGAUGCAUUUCUGCAUGUGGCCAGCACAUUAUGAGCCCCACAAAAAUGUAUCAAGCUCUGAAGGUUAACCAGCAACCUCCCAGAAAUGGCUUUAAAAUAAUAGGCAAGACAGCUUGAUUGGAGGUGUUCUGAAAAAGCAAAAAGGUUUUAAUUAAGGAGAAGAUAACAAACGAUACAAAACAAAAGAAUAAAAGAUGUGCACAGUGCAGGUAGGUCCCUUUCACCUGCUAAGACGCCCCAAAAAGCACUGUGAAACUUUGUGCUCUCUCUUAUGUACUCAACAAUUUAGGAGGAUUUUUUGGCAAACUGCCCAAUAGAAAAUAGCCAUAUUCCUUGAGGGACAGGUAAAAAUCCAACAGGUUCUUUUGUCUUUCUUCUUCCUUAAAAGUUCCAGGGGUGUAACUUAAACUCUUUUCCUAAUAUGGAAACAUUUGCUUGGUUUUAGGGGUGCACUGUAACACUUCACUUGUGGGUUGCUGUCUGUCAGUUGUUGAAACAGGGACAGAAUGGAACCCUUCAGCUCAUUUCUGAUUUAUGGUCC